AUUGCUUCUGUGUACAGGUAUCUUUUAUACAGGUAACAAGCUGAGAUUAAGAGCACUCCCUUUAAGAUAGUGUUCUUAAUCUCAGUUUGUUACCUGUAUAAAAGACACCUGGGAGCCAGGAA
rnacentral:miRNA from 1 species